UGAGGAAUAUUGGGCAAUGCCCGAAAGGGUGACCCAGCAACGCCGCGUGGAGGAUGAAGGUCGUAAGAUUGUAAACUCCUGUUAGAGGGGAAGAAUAACUAAGUUUGGAGCUUAGUAUGACUGUACCCUCAGAGAAAGCCCCGGCUAACUACGUGCCAGCAGCCGCGGUAAUACGAAGGGUGCAAGCGUUACUCGGAAUUACUGGGCGUAAAGCGUGCGUAGGUGGUUGUUUAAGUCUGAUGUGAAAGCCCUGGGCUCAACCUGGGAAUGGCAUUGGAAACUGGGCAGCUAGAGUGCGGUAGAGGGUAGUGGAAUUCCCGGUGUAGCAGUGAAAUGCGUAGAGAUCGGGAGGAACAUCCGUGGCGAAGGCGACUGCCUGGACCAGCACUGACACUGAGGCACGAAAGCGUGGGGAGCAAACA
rnacentral:rRNA from 1 species